AGCAGCCGCGGUAAUUCCAGCUCCAAUAGCGUAUAUUAAAGUUGUUGCAGUUAAAAAGCCGUAGUUGAAUUUCGGGAUUGACACAUCGGUCGUGCCUUAAGGGGUAUGAACUGGCGUACCAAUUCCUCACCUUCUGGUGAAUUGUGAUGCCUCUUUAACUGGGUGUUUCAAUGAACUGGACUUUUACUUUGAAAAA
rnacentral:rRNA from 1 species